GUGGCGGACGGGUGAGUAACACGUGGGAACGUGCCUUUAGGUUCGGAAUAACUCAGGGAAACUUGUGCUAAUACCGAAUGUGCCCUUCGGGGGAAAGAUUUAUCGCCUUUAGAGCGGCCCGCGUCUGAUUAGCUAGUUGGUGAGGUAAUGGCUCACCAAGGCGACGAUCAGUAGCUGGUCUGAGAGGAUGAUCAGCCACAUUGGGACUGAGACACGGCCCAAACUCCUACGGGAGGCAGCAGUGGGGAAUCUUGCGCAAUGGGCGAAAGCCUGACGCAGCCAUGCCGCGUGAAUGAUGAAGGUCUUAGGAUUGUAAAAUUCUUUCACCGGGGACGAUAAUGACGGUACCCGGAGAAGAAGCCCCGGCUAACUUCGUGCCAGCAGCCGCGGUAAUACGAAGGGGGCUAGCGUUGCUCGGAAUUACUGGGCGUAAAGGGAGCGUAGGCGGACAUUUAAGUCAGGGGUGAAAUCCCGGGGCUCAACCUCGGAAUUGCCUUUGAUACUGGGUGUCUUGAGUAUGAGAGAGGUGUGUGGAACUCCGAGUGUAGAGGUGAAAUUCGUAGAUAUUCGGAAGAACACCAGUGGCGAAGGCGACACACUGGCUCAUUACUGACGCUGAGGCUCGAAAGCGUGGGGAGCAAACAGGAUUAGAUACCCUGGUAGUCCACGCCGUAAACGAUGAUUGCUAGUUGUCGGGAUGCAU
rnacentral:rRNA from 1 species